CAGUAGCCGCGGGAAUACGUAGGUGGCAAGCGUUGUCCGGAAUUAUUGGGCGUAAAGGGCUCGCAGGCGGUUUCUUAAGUCUGAUGUGAAAGCCCCCGGCUCAACCGGGGAGGGUCAUUGGAAACUGGGAGACCUGAGUGCAGAAGAGGAGAGUGGAAUUCCACGUGUAGCGGUGAAAUGCGUAGAGAUGUGGAGGAACACCAGUGGCGAAGGCGACUCUCUGGUCUGUAACUGACGCUGAGGAGCGAAAGCGUGGGGAGCGAACAGGAUUAGAUACCCGUGUAGUCCCUGUCUCUUAUAC
rnacentral:rRNA from 1 species